AACACAUAUUGCGCCCGAGGUUUCGACCGAGGGCAUGUCUGGUCGAGCGCCACAAACUCUUGCGCCCCCCGUCUGCCGGUUGGGACAAUGGAGGUCUGGAGAUAGGGGAGGGACAUGCUCGUCUUGCGCCUCUGGUGCGAAGUCGAGUGAAAUGAACUUUCGCGGAAGGCGACCCGUGCGGUCACCAAAUCCGACGUCGGUACGUAAGGGGCCGACCUUCUGCGAUGUGAAAGCUGCGUCAAAACUGGCAUGGAGCCUCAGGGUCGCUCCGGCGGUGCCAUCGCGGUGUCGUCGACGGGGGACACGGCGUGUUGUUGUGCGGCGGAAGCGCGCCCUUUGUGGAAGUGCUUUAAGCUGGCCUCGUCUCAGGCAGGAUGACCCGCUAAAUUUAA
rnacentral:misc_RNA from 1 species